rfam:Eubacterium infirmum F0142 genomic scaffold supercont1.1, whole genome shotgun sequence.
GGGGAUGUAAAGGUUUCGACGGGGGUGUAGAAGCCCGAUAAGCGAGCCGUGGUUCCGGAUCCACGUAAAAAGUCGGACGUUAAAUAUAAACGCUAAAAAUAACAACAAACUCGCAUUUGCUGCGUAAUUAGCAGCCCGCGUGCCAAUUCAGGUUCACCUAUAGGCCUGAUGUCGGCAUCGACUAUGUAGGAAAACUUUGCGGUGAUGCCCGUAGCCGUAAGGGAAUAACGGGAUAACUGCGGUAGUAGUCUGCUGAUGAGCGGCUGCCGUGGCGAAAAUUUAUUCAUCAGAUGCGCUCGGAGAAAAUCGAGUGGAAAUGCUUUCGGACGCGAGUUCGACUCUCGCCAUCUCCACCA